CCGAGUUGAGGUAGUAGGUUGUAUGGUUUAGAAUUACAUCGUGGGAGUUAACUAUACAACCUUCUAGCUUUCCUUGG
rfam:Lepisosteus oculatus linkage group LG3, whole genome shotgun sequence.